UACGUAGGGCGCAAGCGUUGUCCGGAAUUAUUGGGCGUAAAGAGCUCGUAGGCGGUUUGUCGCGUCUGUCGUGAAAGCUUGGGGCUUGACCCCAAGUCUGCGGUGGAUACGGGCAGACUAGAGGCAGGUAGGGGAGAACGGAAUUCCCGGUGUAGCGGUGGAAUGCGCAGAUAUCAGGAGGAACACCGAUGGCGAAGGCAGGUCACUGGGCCGCAACUGACGCUGAGGAGCGAAAGCAUGGGGAGCGAACAGG
rnacentral:rRNA from 1 species